CCACCAUUGAGAUUUGUUCCUGCCCCACCCUAACUGAUACGAUAUAUUCUCCCCCGCCCUUAAGAAGACUCAGCCCGCCUGCACCCAGGUGAAAUAUACAGCCUUGUUGCUCACACAAAGCCUGUUUGGUGGUUUCUUCACACGGAUGCAUGUGACAUUUGGUGCUGAAGACCCAGGACAGGAGGACUCCUUUGGGAGACCAGUGCCCUGUUGUCGCCCUCACUCCGUGAGGAGAUCCACCUAUGAUCUCAGGUCCUCAGACCAACCAGCCCAAGGAACAUCUUGCCAAUUUCAAAUCGGAUAGGAGUGUCAGGCCUCUGAGUCCAAGCUAAGCCAUCAAAUCCCCUGUGACCUGCACGUGUACAUCCAGAUGACCUGAAGCAACUGAAGAUCCACAAAAGAAGUGAAAGUAGCCUUAACUGAUGACAUUCCACCAUUGUGAUUUGUUCCUGCCCCACGCUAACUGAUACCAUAUAUUCUUCCCCCGCCCUUGAGAAUGUACUUUGUACACCUAUCCCAAACCUAUAAGAACUAAUGAUAAUCCUACCACCCUUUGCUGACUCUCUUUUUGGACUCAGCCCGCCUGCACCCAGGUGAAAUAAACAGCCCUGUUGCUCAC
rnacentral:lncRNA from 10 species